rnacentral:rRNA from 1 species
GAUGAACGCUGGCGGCGUGCCUAAUACAUGCAAGUCGAGCGAACAGACGAGGAGCUUGCUCCUCUGACGUUAGCCGCGCACGGGUGAGUAACAUGUGUAUAAUCUCCCUAACAGACUGGGAAAACUUCGGGAAACCGGAGCUAAUACGGUAUAAUAUAUUGAUCCGCAUGGUUCAAUAGUGAAAUACGGCUUUUCUGUCACUUAUAGCUGGAUCCGAGCCGUAUUGGCUAGUUGGUAAGGUAACGGCUUUUCAAGGCAACGAUGCGUGCCCGAGUGGAGUGGGUGAUAGGCCACACUAGAGCUGGGACGCGGUCCAUACUCCUACGGGAGGCAGCAGUAGGGAAUCUUCCGCAGUAGUCGAAAGCCUGACGGAGCAACGCCGCGUGAGUGAUGAAGGUCUUCGGAUCGUAAAACUCUGUUAUUAGUGAAGAACAGAUGUGUAAUUAACUAUGCACUUCUUGACGGUACCUAGUCAGAAAGCCACGGCUAACUACGUG